rnacentral:rRNA from 1 species
UACAGAGGUCUCAAGCGUUGUUCGGAUUCAUUGGGGCGUAAAGGGUGCGUAGGUGGCGCUGUAAGUCAGACGUGAAAUCCCCUCAGCUUAACUGGGGGAACUGCGUCUGAUACUGGAUGGCUUUGAGUUUGGGGAGAGGGGAUGCGGAAUUCCUGGUGUAGCGGUGAAAUGCGCAGAUAUCAGGAGGAACACCGGUGGCGAAGGCGGCAUCCCUGGGACCGAGAUUUGACGCUGAUGCGCGAAAAGCCCAGGGGGAGCAAAACGGGG